GUGGCUUCUUGCCCUUCGCCGGAGCCCGGGGAGCGGAGCAUCCGGGCCUGGAACGCGGACGUGCGUGGGAGGGACGUGAAACUGUGGUUGCAGCCCCGCGGGACAGAAUCGGUCUUUGUCCUCCUGUUCGCGUGCACCUGUUGUCCCAAGCCCUUGACAAACACUGUGUCAUUCACCUUUCCAACCUGGGGGCGGGGCGGGGCGGGGCGGGGGCACGCGGGAGCCCAGGGAGCCGCAUUCCGCGCAUUCCAGCCCCCUGACAGCUCCUGGUACCGCGGCUGUGAGCCCGGGGUGUCCAAAAAUUCCAGCUGACUCAUCCGGAUCAUAAAGACUGCAGUGCCUUAGCUCUGAGGGGAUGCGGUGGUCCACACCCUCUCUACAGAGAACGUCCUGGGUAACACCCUCAGCAUCUGCCCACCCAGGUGGCCUGGACCGUUUUGGAGUUGCUGGUCGACCUAAAUUAGGUUGGGGAAGCACCCAGAAUCUGCAGACUCAGUCGUCUCUGUUUCACCAGAAGUUUGCUGAGCCUCUUUGAUGUGCCAGGCCCUGAGCAUGGAAGGUUGGCAGCAGAUCAUGAUGUAUGCCUUACAUGGGAUGGAGUCUCACUGCCCACUGAGGAAGCUGGGG
rnacentral:lncRNA from 1 species